AUAAAAGGAUGUCUCAUACUCCUUUUAUCUCGGUACCAGAAAAGCCCUGAACUUCUUAAAAAACAAAAACAAAAAAUGGCUAAAGGAGACUUCAAUGUGCCAUACCUUAUUGGGAUCGCUGGCCGCUUCCUUCCCAAAUCAGCUUCAAAGAGAAAGCCUUCCACAGCAAUAAAUAAAAAUUGUGCAAAUGUCACAAUGUUCCCGCAUCCUGGAUGCUUCCUGUGUAGUAAAUAUCAAAAAGGCAAAUAAGAUCUCAUAUCCCAUGGAUCACACACGACUAUCAACAGAGCUCACAGAGAAGAAUCCAAGCUUAUUUCACCCUUUCCUAGGUGUAGCAGGCCAGGAGUAAGAAUCACGCCAAUAACACUCGUUGUCAGAACUACGAUACAACUUUUCUAGUCAACUUGGGAAGUUGAUGAGGUAGUUAUUAUGCCCAUUGCACUGCUAAAGACACUGAGGGUCACAUGGCACUGACUCAGGUAAGUCUCCCAGAGCUACAGGGCAAAUAAGUGAUGUCUGCAGGCUCCCUUAUAUAACUGUUUACAAUUCAGUGGUUUUUAGUAUUUUCAGAGUUGUGCAGCUUACCAUUUUAGGGUAUCCCCCAAAGAAAUCCCAUACCCAUCCGGGUCCCUCUCCAUUGCCUCCUCCCUCCUCCCUUGACAACCCUAUUCUACUUUGUCUAUUCCCAUAGGAUUUAAAAAUAUCCCUAAUGUACUCACAUAAUUAAAAUUUUUUUUAAAGUCAUUUUAGAGAGCUCUUUUGGGGAACACGCUGUUGUAUGGCUACCAAUGGAACUAUUUGUUUUAACUUGAGUAAUUCAUUUUAAAACUUCAGUAUAAAAGCUUGUGGGUCCUUUUCUCUAAAUCACUUGUUUCCUUGAACUUUAACUUCUUAACAAUUAUAAUCAACUGCA